GGGUCAGUAGGUUGGUCGUGCCACCGGUACGUACUGGUCUCACUGAUUCCCCCUUCCUGAAGAACCGUAAUGCCAUUAAUUUGGUGUUGCGGGGAAACAGGACUGUUACUUUGAAACAAUUAGAGUGUUUAAAGCAAGCUAACGCUUGAAUACAUUAGCAUGGAAUAAUGAAAUAGGACGAUCGAUCCUAUUUUGUUGGUUUCUAGGAUUGACGUA
rnacentral:rRNA from 1 species